rnacentral:lncRNA from 1 species
UUAAUUUUUUUUAUUCAUUUGGCGGUCAUUGGAAGCAGUGCGGCCAUAAUUAAUGAUACCUACGUGUAGGACUUGAAACUAAUAUCUACAUAUUUAUAUACAUACAAAAUUCAUUUCGUGACCUCUUUAUUGGACAAUUAAUCAUUAAUUAAGUUGAAUAUCGGUUUUUAACAUUGGAUAUUCACAUACAUUGUAAAUAAGUUUCAUUCAUAUUUUAUGUCCUUCUAUUUUCAUCCAAUAUUAUUUCUCUUAAUUCCAUUUUACUUUCAAUAACUAAUCAUAACUAUAUUUGUAUCUAUAUAUACCUAUAGAUACCAAGAUAGUAUUUUUUCAACUCAGAUUAAAGCUUCAAGUCUUUGAGCUGAUUCCAAGAUAAGUCAAGCAUUGAUUCACGUCGAAUCCUAACUGAAAUUGCUCUUAGAUAAUGAUACUUAUGUACGGCAAUUGACCAAGUCCUGAUUACAAAUAGACUCCAGCUCUCAUACAAUUAGAAAAGGAGAAAGCCCCUAUUUUGCAGCUACAAGUAGAGUUCAAAGACAUGGGUAUCGAGUCUCGAGUUAAUAUCAAGUCUUUGUUUAGAAAUCCAACGCCUUAUAUACUUUUAUUGCGUCUAGUUCGAGACCUCAUAUUGCUUUUGAGUUAAUUUCAAGUUUAUGGAUAAUUAUAUAUUUUUAAUUUGAGUCUGAAGGCUUCUGUUGAGUCAAGUAUAUUAUUCUGACUCAAAUAAAAGAUAGUAAAUUAUUAUUAAGGGGUUAUUUUAGAAAAUAAUUUCAGUUAUUUUAAUAGAUAUCCCAUUUGUUUUCGGUACUUUUUUUAAAUCUGAUUAUUAGAACCAGAUUUAUUGACGAUUUUCAGUGAAGAAAAAAAAAAUGAUUUUGAGAAUGUUUGUUAAAAAAAGAUCCAAUAUACAGUUAAAUCUUGAGUCGUUUCUUUCGAGUCCAAAUCAAUUCUCAAGUCUUUGAACAUGAAUUCAAGUCAAGUUUCAAGUUCUCAAAAUAAUAAAGCAACGAAGUUCAGUGAAAAACAUACUCGAAGAAAAAUUAGUCUCUCGAACUGAAUGUGCGAAGGUUCGCUCCCCAAUCAUUCCUAGAGAAGGAGAUAUAAAUUCUGUAUAUGGACUUCAAAGGCAGUUUCUAGGUCAGAUGGACUAAUUCUAUUACUUUAAUAUUUAUUUAUACUUAAUCAGUGCAACUCCAUCUGACGAAUUAAAGGAAUAUUUAAAAAAAUGGAAUACCCACAUCUGGUUAUCGUCACUAUUAAACGUAAAUAAUAUUUUGAUGUAAGGAGUGUAUAUGAGCCUCAAGCCUUAUCAAGUCUACUUAUUCAAGUCUGAAUCUUUAAACUUUGAUGCCAAAUCGCGUCUGACGUUGCAAUUUAAUUGAUGGUACAUUAAUACAACUCGGGAUUACGUGUUCCAAGCAGUAAAUAAACAUAAUAUUAAGCUAUUUAUGUCUUGUCCAAAAAAAUUACUUUUUAUUCUUUUGAAUAAUUUAAUGAAAUGAUUACAGAUUAGUGAAAAUAGCCCUGGUAAUUAUGUACUAUUCAAGAUGUUGCUCUACUUAUGUGUGGAACAUAAUAAUGUAUUUAUGCAUAAAAUAUAUGCUUAUAGAGGGCAUUGCACUUAUUAUUUUCCAUGAUAAUAAUCUAAUAAGUAUGCCUUCACCACUAUGUGAGGUCGAUGUCUUGUUCUUUGUUGAAAAUUAAAUUAAUUUACUUUAUGUCAACGUAUGUAGUUAUAUCUAUUCCAAAUAGGGCAUGGGUGUUGAUUACAUAUAUUAGUUUGCUUACAAUAUGAUCGAGAGGGGCGCCGUAUUGUGGCAGAAUAAUACAACUCCCUGAAUUCAGAUAAUAAGUAUUUUUUUAAUUUGCUUAUUCCCCAUUGAUUUGUGUUCCAUGUAACUUGCAGUUGACAGAGCCAUUUACUUGAGUGUGUUUCGUUCUUGUUUUGAUUUUCAUAAAGAUUCAUUACCGCCUAUUUAAGUGUUGCAUUCUAUUUUUCCCUCAGGACAACAUUUUAAGGACAACCU